rnacentral:rRNA from 1 species
UACGUAGGGGGCUAGCGUUGUCCGGAUUUAUUGGGCGUAAAGAGCGUGUAGGCGGCCAGGUAGGUCUGCUGUGAAAACUCGAGGCUUAACCUCGAGAUGUCAUCGGAAACCAUCUGGCUAGAGUCCGGAAGAGGAGAGUGGAAUUCCUGGUGUAGCGGUGAAAUGCGCAGAUAUCAGGAAGAACACCAAUGGCGAAAGCAGCUCGCUGGGACGGUACUGACGCUGAGACGCGAAAGCGUGGGGAGCGAACAGG